GUUGGUAGUGUAUGAUUUGUGGAAGGUAUGUUGGAAGUGUAUGAUUGGUGGAAGGUAUGUUGGAAGUGUAUGAUUGGUGGAAGGUAUGUUGGUAGUGUAUGAUUGGUGGAAGGUAUGUUGGUAGUGUAUGAUUGGUGGAAGGUAUGUUGGUAAUGUAUGAUUGGUGGAAGGUAUGUUGGUAGUGUAUGAUUGGUGGAAGGUCUGUUGGUAGUGUAUGAUUGGUGGAAGGUAUGUUGGCAGUGUAUGAUUGGUGGAAGGUAUGUUGGUAGUGUAUGAUUGGUGGAAGGUAUGUUGGUAGUGUAUGAUUAGUGGAAGGUAUGUUGGUAGUGCAUGAUUGGUGGAAGGUAGGUUGGUAGUGUAUGAUUAGUGGAAGGUGUGAUGGUAGUGUAUGAUUGGUGGAAGGUAUGUUGGUAGUGUAAGAUUGGUGGAAGGUAUGUUGGUAGUGUAUUGGAGGCGGGAUUCAUCGCAAGCAGAUCAGCUAUGACUGAAAUUCGUAUUCUUACGAUAAUAACUACAGACGCACUAAUGGAACAACUGACAGAAGAAUAAUGAUCCAAAAAGUUAAAAUAUUACAUUCCACGCGCAUAAAAAACUUUUGGUUUUAUCUCCUUGCUAAAUGUUUAUAUUUCCAUGUAAAUGCAUUGUUUUAAUUAAUUGA